UGAUGCAGCAAUGCCGCGUGAGUGAAGAAGGCCCUUGGGUCGUAAAGCUCUUUUAUGGGGGAAGAUGAUGACGGUACCCCAAGAAUAAGCACCGGCUAACUACGUGCCAGCAGCCGCGGUAAUACGUAGGGUGCGAGCGUUGUUCGGAAUUACUGGGCGUAAAGGGCGCGCAGGCGGAAUAGCAAGUCGGAGGUGAAAGCCCGGGGCUCAACCCCGGAGGGUCUUUCGAAACUGCUAAUCUAGAGAGGGUCAGGGGCCAGCAGAAUUCCUGGUGUAGAGGUGAAAUUCGUAUAUAUCGGUAGGAAUACCGGUGGCGAAAGCGGCUGGCUGGGGCCACUCUGACGCUGAGGCGCGAAAGCGUGGGGAGCAAACAGGAUUAGAUACCCUGGUAGUCCACGCCGUAAACGAUGAGCACUGGACGUCCGGAGGGUUCGACCCUUCUGGGUGUCUCAGCUAACGCAUUAAGUGCUCCGCCUGGGGAGUACGGUCGCAAGACUA
rnacentral:rRNA from 1 species